AGUAAUGGACAAUCAACGACCUCAGGCCUUACUAAGACAUAAAGCUUUGGAGGGGUAGCAGCAUAAAUUGCAAUGUAAAUUGAAAGGCUGUUGGUUGAUAUGUGGACAGCUGUGACCUCCACAUAUUAUGAUAUCCUGCACAAUCUUGAACAAGUUGAGAUGCUGGACAUUGCAAAUACCCUGCACCUCUUUCUGGUACAUCUUGUGUUUCUUCCCCGACCUUCAGAUCUUUGUUGAAGGCUGGAACCAACAUCCCCUUUCAUGACCCCGGAACAAAUGUGGCAAAUGUAACUUUUGUACUGACUCUGACUUGUACUGAUUCUAUUCUCAUAGAUAUUAUAUAUAAAUAAA